AGAGUUUGAUCCUGGCUCAGGACGAACGCUGGCGGCGUGCCUAAUACAUGCAAGUAGAACGCUGAAGAGAGGAGCUUGCUCUUCUUGGAUGAGUUGCGAACGGGUGAGUAACGCGUAGGUAACCUGCCUGGUAGCGGGGGAUAACUAUUGGAAACGAUAGCUAAUACCGCAUAAAAUUGAUUAUCGCAUGAUAAUUAAUUGAAAGAUGCAAUUGCAUCACUACCAGAUGGACCUGCGUUGUAUUAGCUAGUUGGUGAGGUAACGGCUCACCAAGGCGACGAUACAUAGCCGACCUGAGAGGGUGAUCGGCCACACUGGGACUGAGACACGGCCCAGACUCCUACGGGAGGCAGCAGUAGGGAAUCUUCGGCAAUGGGGGGAACCCUGACCGAGCAACGCCGCGUGAGUGAAGAAGGUUUUCGGAUCGUAAAGCUCUGUUGUAAGAGAAGAACGGGUGUGGGAGUGGAAAGUUCACACUGUGACGGUAUCUUACCAGAAAGGGACGGCUAACUACGUGCCAGCAGCCGCGGU
rnacentral:rRNA from 1 species